ACCUGGCUGCAGGGAGCAGAAAGUACCUAGAUUGGAGCAGAUCUGAGGAAAGGCCAUGGGAGUUGGGGAGCUCUGACCUGGAAAAAUCCCAGGCUGUGGCCUAGUAGAAGGCCAGGCAGGUAUUGAGGUUGCAAAGGGGGCAGCCCAUGGGUAGGCUGAGGCAACAGAUCCAAACCCCUCCUUGCCAGUGAUAAGUGGCUUUUACGCUGCAGUCUGCCCCUGAUACAACUAUGCCAGUUGGUGACUGGCAGUAGCCUUACACUGAGGCAAGGUGGAGAUAGUGGGUGGGGGUUCCCCUGAGGAGGGGGGGGACCCUGAGAGACAGUGGGUGUACUGCUAGGGGGCAGCCAUCCAAAAGACAAGGGGCACUGGGUCUGGGAGGGAUGUGGGGUCAGCAGUAAGGCGGAUCACUGACCUGCAGAGGGUGCUCCAGAGCCUAGUGAGCUGAUUCCUGACCAAGACCAGCUGGAGGUGCCGCAGGGAAUCUUUCUACUAGAGAUUCGAUGGAAAGAAAUACAAGGGCAUCCUUCCUGUAGCUGAAGAAAGCAUCCCAUCCCAUCCCAUCUCUUGGUGGUAGUUGGUGUCCCUGUUCUGGAAGGUGGUGGAGGCAUGACGCAUCAGGUGAAGAAGAGGAAAUAUUUGUAAGAGGUGUCACCUCCUUGUCUGUCCUUGCAUCUUUCUCCUCACGGGUCUCAUCCUCUGGCAUGGGUGGUGACAAAGAAGGUUGAAGAUGAUGCCUUGUUCUCUCCAACAGUGUGAAGACCUCGUCACAAAUUGCUGGAGUUGCAACACCCAGGGAUCCAGCAAGGCCACUGAGGAACGCCAAAAGGCAAAGAUGGAGACAUAUAUCUGUGUUCCUGCCAGGAGGGUGUCAUUUGAGGUCUAUUCUCUUGUAAAACAUCAGUGUAGGAGGGAGAGUGAUGUGUUCUGGGGAACCCUACACCAAGACCUGAAAAUCUGAAGAGUCCUCUUACACAUUCUCCAGGGGUCAAGGAGGGGAGCUGUUCAAUUUGCAAAGUAGAUUAGGGCAAGCCUGGUUCCCUAUGUGAUACAGAGAUCAGUGACUGAGAGGGUCUUGCUGCUGACAAACCCCCAACACUCUGAAGAGACUAACAAGUGUUUAGGGUACCUAAACUCUUGUGGUACUGACCGUAACAAAGACUGGCCUGGGACGGCCUAUGGAGGAUGGCUUCAGUACUGAUGUAGCCAGCACUGAGCGCUUGGCCUGUGAGUGCAUCGGCUCUGACUCCCACAGUAUUAUAUAGGGUCUAGUGGUCUUCGCUACAGUUGUCUUCCUUGAUAUCGGUACCAAGUGCUAUUCCGGGACACCUCUGUCUCUGUCAGUCAGGAUCCAGAUAUCCAAAGUCAGUCUUAGACUGAGUUUUCUUCUUUGCUUUUGCAGUACCUGCAUCACUCAGAGCCUAUGCUGAACUCCCCUUGCGACCUGAGGUCUCUGUAGCCCUGUUGUGCGUGGGUGACCAAGAUCUUGUUGGAGAUUUACACCUCUCUCCUUUGUUUAGAGGAAGAUAUAGAUGAGAACUGCAGUAGCACAGAAGUAGUCAGUGACACAGUACUGCCUACGUCUCUAGCUGUUUCCAAUGACUGAGAUCUUGUGGGGCAUUAGGAGUACUGAGAGGUCUAUGUACUGGGAGGGGUGGGGGGUCUUCUGCCUCUGGAUCCAAAGCUGGACAUAAGGCUUGUUCUAUCAUUAGUAGCUUAAACUUUAUCUCCCAAUUUUUUUUCUUCAAAAAUCUACCCCUGAAGGAUGUACAGAUCUUGCACUUACUAGGAAUAUGGAUAUCACACUAACAAUGCAGGUACUGGGAAAGCCUGUCACUGACUGAAAUAACCUCUCAGAAGGAGAGGCACCUCUUGAAUCCUGAGGAACCUGGCAUUCCUGAGAAAAAACAACAAGAGACAACCCAAGAAGGGGAAAUUCUAAACUACUAUCUAGCUAUAAGAAUAAAAGGAUUUUAUUUUUAGGGGGGGAAAGGAAAAACAAAGGAAACACUAAAAGUAAUUAUAAACUACCUAAAUCCUAAAAGGAGAACAGACACAUGCUGCAUCUCAGACCGAAGGCACUGAGAGCAGUUUACCUCUGCAGCUCCAAAUAGCCUUGGUGUGGGGCACCAGGAUGCGUAGGUCACAUGCAUGGACCAAAUGGCCACCACUACCAAAAAUCUCUGAUCAAAGGCACAGGGCGCAUACACACCUGAAGUGGAGCACCCACAGGAACACUACUCGAAGAACUGGAUAUUUUGUAGUGGUUCCUACAAGUUUUACUAUAUUAAAUAAAAAAGCUAUAUUUUACAUGCACACACAAAUUUUUACAAGCACUCAUGAAGCUUAGAUACACAACUAUCAGGGGGGUGAUGGAUCCUAGUCUCAGCAGCUCCUUGCCAUCCAACACUGAUGUCUCCCCCAGCCUGAGGGGCCUGCUAUGGGGCUCGUUGGACUGAGAUUCCUAGUCACUACAUGGUCAGCACUGCCCCCU